GAUGAAGAACGUAGCGAAAUGCGAUAAGUAAUGUGAAUUGCUGAAUUCAGUGAAUCAUCGAAUCUUUGAACGCACAUUGCGCCCGCUAGUAUUCUGGCGGGCAUGCCUGUCCGAGCGUCAUUUCAACCCUCAAGCCCCCGGGCUUGGUGUUGGGGAUCGGCGAGCCUCCGCGCCCGCCGUCCCCUAAAUCUAGUGGCGGUCUCGCUGUAGCUUCCUCUGCGUAGUAGCACACCUCGCACUGGGAAACAGCGCGGCCACGCCGUUAAACCCCCAACUUCUGAACGUUUGACCUCGGAUCAGGUAGGAAUACCCGCUGAACUUAAGCAUAUCAAUAAGCGGAGGA
rnacentral:misc_RNA from 1 species